GUCCUUGUAGCGCAAUGGAUAGCGCAUUGAACCUUUGAAUCCAAAGUUCGUGGAUUCGAAUUUCACUUGGGAUG